rnacentral:rRNA from 1 species
GAUGAACGCUAGCGGGAGGCCUAACACAUGCAAGCCGAGCGGUAUUUGUUCUGCGUGACAGAGAGAGCGGCGCACGGGUGCGGAACACGUGUGCAACCUGCCUUUAUCUGGGGGAUAGCCUUGCGAAAGGAAGAUUAAUACCCCAUAAUAUAUUGAGUGGCAUCACUUGAUAUUGAAAACUCCGGUGGUUAGAGAUGGGCACGCGCAAGAUUAGAUAGUUGGUGAGGUAACGGCUCACCAAGUAAAUGAUCUUUAGGGGGCCUGAGAGGGUGAUCCCCCACACUGGUACUGAGACACGGACCAGAGUCAUACGGGAGGCAGCAGUGAGGAAUAUUGGACAGUGGGUUAGCGCCUGAUCCAGCAAUCCCGCGUGAAGGAAGACCGCGCUAUGGGUGGUAAACUUCUUUUGUAUAGGGAUAAACCUAAUCUAGUGAGAGUAGCUGACGGUACUAUAAGAAUAAGCACCGGCUAACUACGUG